GUAGGGAAUAUUGGGCAAUGGAGGCAACUCUGACCCAGCCAUGCCGCGUGCAGGAUGACGGCCCUCUGGGUUGUAAACUGCUUUUAUACGGGAAGAAAAAAUACUACGUGUAGUAUACUGACGGUACCGUAAGAAUAAGGAUCGGCUAACUCCGUGCCAGCAGCCGCGGUAAUACGGAGGAUCCAAGCGUUGUCCGGAUUUAUUGGGUUUAAAGGGUGCGUAGGCGGAUCUUUAAGUAAGUGGUGAAAGCCUGCAGCUUAACUGUAGAAUUGCCAUUGAAACUGAAGAUCUUGAAUGUGGUUAAAGUAGGCGGAAUGUAUCAUGUAGCGGUGAAAUGCUUAGAUAUGAUACAGAACACCGAUAGCGAAGGCAGCUUGCUGAACCAUUAUUGACGCUGAGGCACGAAAGCGUGGGGAGCGAACAGGAUUAGAAACCCGAGUAGUCC
rnacentral:rRNA from 1 species